rnacentral:rRNA from 1 species
AUGGCCUCCUUCCCCUCCGUCUCCGUGGCGAGGGCGAGGCCGAGACCCUUCCUCCUGCUGGCGGCGGCGGUGGUCGCGGUGGCGGUGCUCGCGCGCGGCGCCCACGCGCAGCUCUCCGCGGGGUUCUACUCGGCGAGCUGCCCCACCGUGCACGGCGCCGUGCGCCAGGUCAUGUCGCAGGCCGUCAUCAACGACACGCGCACCGGCGCCGCCAUCCUCCGCCUCUUCUUCCACGACUGCUUCGUCAACGGCUGCGACGCCUCGCUGCUGCUCGACGACACGGCCACGACGCCCGGCGAGAAGAGCUCCGGCCCCAACGCCGGCGGCUCCACCUUCGGCUUCGACGUCAUCGACAACAUCAAGACGCAGGUCGAGGCCGCCUGCCCCGGCACCGUCUCCUGCGCCGACAUCCUCGCCCUCGCCGCGCGCGACAGCGUCAACCUGCUGGGCGGGCCGAGCUGGGCGGUGCCCCUGGGGCGGCGCGACGCGACGGCCCCGGACCCGGACGGGGCGAGGACGCUGCCGGGCCCGGACCUGGACCUCGCCGCGCUCGUCUCCGCCUUCGCCGCCAAGGGGCUCACGUCGCGCGACCUGGCCGCGCUCUCGGGCGCGCACACGGUGGGCAUGGCGCGCUGCGUCCAGUUCCGCACGCACGUCUACUGCGACGCCAACGUGAGCCCGGCCUUCGCGACGCAGCAGCGGCAGCUCUGCCCGGCCUCCGGCGGCGACGCCGGCCUCGCGCCGCUCGACCCGCUCACCCCCAACGAGUUCGACAACGGCUACUACCGCAACCUCAUGUCCGGCGCCGGGCUGCUGCGCUCCGACCAGGAGCUCUUCAACAACGGCCAGCUGGACUCCCUGGUGCGGCUCUACAGCGCCAACCCCGCUGCUUUCUCGGCCGACUUCGCCGCCUCCAUGAUCAACCUCGGGAACGUCAGCCCGCUCACCGGGUCCAGCGGGGAGAUCAGGCUCGAUUGCAGGAAAGUCAAUUCUUCUUGA